ACAAUAUUCGGAUCGUCGGUCUACCGAGCACUUUCAACCACUCUGUGGAAGAUCUUCCGUUUGUCGG
rnacentral:pre_miRNA from 1 species